AUGCCUUGGCUGCUCCCUAUGUUGAGCGCGUGGAUUCAACGCUGGGUAUAUGAUUGUGAUAUAAUAUUGCGCGGAAGAAAAGCCACUGUUGCUCUUACAGUUUUAGGAGCUUUGGGCGGAGGAGUUGAGUGCAGCUUUUAUAUCUUUUUUCAAAGUCCUAAAUGGUUGGACAAGACAAAGUUUCAUGUCAUUGGGGCAAUCUUAUUUACGGCCCAGCAAGGUGUUCUGCAUCCAACAGCUGUUGUGAAGACUAGAAUGCAGAGGAUUUGGCACCAGUGCAGUUGGAGCUCUGCUCACCGUCUACUGGGUGAACCGGGGCCCUGCCACUUCCGCCACAAGGACUGGGCUAGGGUCGAGGAGGACAGCAGGAGGGCGCUCUUGCUCGACGACACCUCCAUCAAGGGACACUAUUUGCUAGGAUGCGCGCUGCUCUUGGAGGGGGACUGCGCUCUCACCGUCAAGGAAUUCGACAAGGUGUUUGAUCACUUGAAGUCCUCAAAUUCAAGGGACAAAUGUCAGAGGACAUUUGACAGUUUCUUGCCAAAGCGAAGUACCAAGACUGGGAAAAGCACUCUACUCAGCGAGUUUGGAAGAUGCAAAGUUUAA
rnacentral:rRNA from 1 species